UGAGGAAUAUUGGUCAAUGGGCGGGAGCCUGAACCAGCCAAGUCGCGUGAGGGACGACGGUCCUAUGGAUUGUAAACCUCUUUUGUCGGGGAACAAAGGCGCCCACGGGUGGGCGGAUGAGUGUACCCGAAGAAAAAGCAUCGGCUAACUCCGUGCCAGCAGCCGCGGUAAUACGGAGGAUGCGAGCGUUAUCCGGAUUUAUUGGGUUUAAAGGGUGCGUAGGCGGACAGUCAAGUCAGCGGUAAAAAUGCGGUGCUCAACGCCGUACAGCCGUUGAAACUGGCAGUCUUGAGUGGGCGAGAAGUAUGCGGAAUGCGUGGUGUAGCGGUGAAAUGCAUAGAUAUCACGCAGAACUCCGAUUGCGAAGGCAGCAUACCGGCGCCCGACUGACGCUGAGGCACGAAAGCGUGGGUAUCGAACAGG
rnacentral:rRNA from 1 species